CUGUUAAUUCUGUGUUUAAAAAUUCUAGAUAAGAAAGUGGAGAGGAUAGAAUGAAGUUGAUGUGUGAAGAAAAGCAAGUUCUCCUUUGUAUUUGCAAAAGCCCAGUGCCCUGCCACAACUGAAAAGAAGCUGGGAUUCAAGAGGUGGUUUUCUUUCAAACCUAUCCCCGAAGACAACGGAGCAGAUGAUGUUGGAGACAGCAUGGAUCAGGAAUCUGCCAGGGUUGAAGGGUUUCGCUGCAACAACAGAAAAAAAAGAUAUGCAGGGUGUCCCAGUAAGCACAAAGUCCAGUCCUACCAUGUGUGUUCCUGAUCCUCUCCACCAGAAAGUGAGCUUCCUCCUGGAUUCGCUCGUCAAUGCUCCUCUUCCCCACUCCGAAAUCCCUCAGGGUGGUGAGUGCAAAUCGUCGGAGCUGCUUCCAGGUCUCCCCAUUGCUGGUCACAAUACCUGAUGAAGGAAAAAUAGACCACCAUGAGGAAACAGGUUUUAUUUCUUUCCCUCCCUGAAUGGGAGCUACACAGUGAGUACUCAACAUGCAAAGAUACUCCUCUGUGGAGUUAUAUUGCAAUUGCUGUGUGCCCAAUAAUGUAACUUCUCUGAAGUUCUGGAGGUGACAGAUUUGAUCCAUCUGUCACAGCACUUGGAGUAAAACUCAGUUUAUUGCCAGAGUAAGAAAAGCUACAUUCGGAUGUAACACUGGUACUGAAUUUGUCUUGGCCAUAGGCACUGAAAAUCAGCACAAAAGUUCUACUAUGCACCUCCACAUGGUGUAACAGUAUUGACAAGACCAUUGAUACUGUACUAUCGUACCAUGGAUUAGUUACUAUUUACCCAGAUAAAUGCCAUACUCAGAACUGCCCUAGUGAAUGAACACAUGGUCUAAUCUUGAAUGUGGCCCUUAUUGGCACAGCCUAUAUUAUCUCAUCUUUGUUGUCUGUGGACUUUCCUCUUGUUGGUUCCUUAGCGGUAUGUAUAUUGUCAGUAUUUUCAGAAAUGGGAGAAUGAACCUAGGAUCUUAGAGGCACAUUUGAUGAGCAAACUUUUAGCCACAAUUUGUAGCAUGCUGAAAAUAGAAAGGCACUCAGUGAAGCCAGCCUGUGACCUUAGAUAGUUCUCCAGGGAACCUCUUUACUCAAGGGUCCAAGUACUGAGUUGGGCUCUUAGUUUUUUAUUGCUAAAAGUAGUAAAUGAAAGGUAAGUAACUGAAAAGUAGUAAAUGAAAUCCACCAUUCCCUCCUCCACUGCCCUCUGAACUGUGUUGCUGAAGCACUGAAAGCAUCAGCUUUGUAUGCUAACGUUACUGGGGAUAUACCUGUGCCUUUGAAGAGUCUUUCAAGGAGUGGUAGAUUGCCCCUUCCACUGAAGUCAUCUGCCUGAUCAAUCAGAGCUUCUUUCACAACAUCAUAGCCAUACAGCACCACAAUCUUUCGUGGGCCUAAAUGUAUUGUGAAGACAGGACCAUACUUCUCGCUAAGCUGUAGGAAAGAGGAACACAAAGAACAACAUAUGAGAGUUGUCCCUAAUAUCUCCUGGGCACCAGACCUCUGUAAACUGGAUGAGUAUAUCAGUGGAGAGUCAUUGGAGCCUUGUACUGAAUAAGAGGAGUUGGGCACAGGAGGAGUGUAGUGAAUAUAGCAAUAGCAUCAGCGCCUUGAUUGCAAAGCCACUGCAAAUUGCAGUUCUGCCAUGAAGUCAGCACAGGACUCAUCAUUAGUAGGGUUAUUGCAAAGAUAUAGCCUUAGACUUGCACUAUAUAGACUUAGAUAUCAGAUUAUUGGAAUAUAUAGACUUCAGAAGCAUUUAUUUCUGUGAAACCGUUUGGUUCUGUUGGAGUUAUUUGGUCAAUGCAAAUUAAGCUUGUGACUUAAACUGAGACAGUCUAGACUUGACUUUGUUUUAUAUGCAAUGGAAACAACUUAGGAAAGAAGGAGACAGUGCCUUACCUUCUUCAAGCUUUCAGGCAAGUUCCUUGGGUUCAGCUGGAAUAUGUUUCCAGCUAGGGGGAGUGCUAUGGGACCAGGAGGCUGCUUCAUGUUUUGUGAUAUAUUUCUCCAUGUGGUGAUGAGAAGAAGGCAUGAGAUACAGAUCAGCAAGAAAAUAGUGGUCAUUCCCAGGAGCUCCAUGGUGGGCUGAGGAAGAGAAGUUUCAGAAAAGCCUGAUGUUGGACCUGUAAAUCCAUCCAUAUUUAUAUACUGUGAAUCCAAAGCACAUGGAUGAAAUUAGCCAAUAGUGCCUUCCUAUUCCUUCUGAGAUAUGAGAUUACUUAUUAAUUAGCUCAAGAUAAGAAUGAACAAACUAGGGAUGAACUCCUUGUUUAUACAAUGAUUUUUUUUACCUCUCCACCUCUGGGUAAUCAUUCAUGCCGGACUAAAGAAGUCAUGUUCUAAUGCUGUCAAACAAACUCAAAAUGCCUAGCUGCUAUGUAUAUGCUUAAACUCUGUUUGCCCUCAUGCCUAGAUUGACAUCUGCCAGCCCCUCCAGUAUCUGAGCACAGUGGAGGGAGGUGUUGUGAUUGAAAAAGGGCGUCACUCCAAGUUCUUCCUAGGCAUUCCACCUCCAUUUCUGGAACAAAAUUAUGCAAUUGUACCCAAGUCACACAUGCAGAUUUUGAGGAAUACACUCAGCUUGUCCUAACCUGAUAUUUCAGCCAGACAAACCGUACCGUCUACAGCAUUUGCAUGAUCACAGAUUCUGCCCAAACCACAGAUCCCUGCAGCAACCUGCAAUCUCCUUUCUGAUGCUUCUAGAAACUAGUUGAAGAUCCACAGAAGUUGUGAAGAUCCAUGAAAUAUAAAGGCACCCUGAAGAGAGCUCAACAGAAUGAUUGGUUUAAUUAAUAUUAUUUAAUAUAAUGUAUCUUAAAUGAAAUAUUAUGCUUCCCACUUCUUCUCCGACAGGAAUCCAACCCCCUAUAAGAAGGGUGAGAAGUGUGUAUGUCUUCUGGCAGAGAAGUAGAGCAGAUUGAGCCACCUGAGACCAAAGAGCUGAUACCAGGACUCGGUUGCCAAAUGUUGUCUGUCCAUCAUAUGUAGUGUCUGUAAAGUGCUAGUGAUCUACUGUAAACACUGUACGCAGACUCGUACAGCCCCACCAUUCUCCCACUUUCUUCUUGGCCCCAACGACAAGGCAUGGCAUUAGGCUGUAUAUUUCUUUUUUCUGUGACUUUAUGUAGAGAGAUACUGAUCCUCUACAUAAGGAGCACAUUUGAACAUAGUGCUUAUGGCAAGAUGACUAGAAGAAGUCAGGGAAGCUUGUACAUCAUUGUACUAGGGGAUGUGAAAGGGGGUGUGCGUUUAGCAGGCACUCGAGCUUGAUGCUGGCCAGGGCUGGGUGGAUGGUGUCUUCUUAAAACUAAUAAGUAUGGGAAGGAGUAACAGGUAAACCUUUCCUAAACUACACACAUAAUUACUAAAUAGCAUAACUCAGGUUUCAGGAAAACUGUAGUGGAUUAAACCAGUGAAGUAGUUAUGAAGUGAGGACAUGAAUUUAGUAGGUGCAAAGUUACACUUAAUUUCUGACACUGCUUAAGUGUCAAGAGUAUCAAUUACUCUUUGACUAUUAAGGUUAAUGAAUGUUAUUAAAGUUUACUUUUAUAAGUCUUGUAAUAGUCCUAAAGCAAUGUUAAUUCAGACCCAGUGAAGCCCCAGUAGGGAAACAAACAAGGGAAGAGGACAUGGAGUGUAGAGAAUGGAAGCUGACAACAACAUCUUAAGGAAGGGAAUAGGAACAUUACUGAAAUAAAAAACCAAUUAGAUUCAUCACUAAAGAAGAUCUCUGUGUAAUAAGAAAAAGAUAUGAAAUUACUCUUAAACUCACUUUGAGAAUCAGUGCCAAGCGAUACUAUUUUCAUGUUUAUCUCUGAUUAACAAAGAAUAUAUAUUUCCUAUCUAUGAAACUGGUGUUCAAAGACAAUGCAGUGGAUAAUGCUGUCAAGAAAAAGGGUGUGAGUUAGAGUUGCUCUGUAGGAAAAUCUCCCUGGACAGCUCAUCUGAAACAACUUGCUUUGAUUUUGGUUUCAUUUCCCUGUGUUCCCCCACCCCUCCCCACCCCCAGCUGAGAAGCCAAUAUUCCCACCAGGGGUGAGAAGUCCCCAUUCCUAUGCUUCCUGGGUAGUUCUUGCCCCACAGAAGACCCCUUGCCCAUCGCCCCAUAGGCUGUGGUCAGACUGACCACUCUCCUGCUCUUCAUCUCAGAUACCUGGGUCUCUGUCCAUCACCUAUUGGUAGUGGGUGAGCAUUAAAUGGGUGACAGUGUCCUCUGGCCUAUUUCUCUUCACACACUAGAGAGGGAGCUCAUCCAGACUUUCAGACAAUUAAGUCAGAUGAGACAGAUCCCACCCAAACGACCACAUCAGGGACCAUUUCAGUUCUUCUGAGUCAGCAAAACAGGCUCUGCCACCUGCUAACGCUCAGUCCAUCCCACUACAUCUUUUAUGAUACAUAACCAAAAUUAUACUUACUCCUUUUGUGGUAUGAUAGUGGAAGGAAGUGUUAAACUUAUAAAAAGCUAUAUAUAUGUAUAAAAAGGGAUAUAUUCUUAUAUUUCAUAUGUAUCUAUCUACCUACCUACUUAUCUAUAUCUUAUUUCUCUCCCAGAUAAUGAAACGCAUUUUCUUUCCUGGACCAUCUCAUUGACUUAGAACUUGGGUCCACAUUGGUUCAAUCAGUUGUUGAGAGCUCACGUCUGCACUUUCAUAUGUAUAAAAAUAGCCAGACACACUGUGAACACCAGACUUUGUUUUCUACUGAGCUGUCAAAAUGGGAUUUAAAGGAUGGGCAGAUUUUAUCUUUAGCCCAAUUAGCUGAGGACUAGCAGAUUCUACAGCAGCAAGGAAAGAAACAUUUCCCACCUAAAUUUAGAUAUUAAAAAGCUAGGUGUCCAAAUCAGCUAGUCUCCCCUGUUAGCACAGAAACACUGAUACUUCCAGAAGAUGGGUCAUCUGACUUGUCUUAUGCUCCUAUUUUAGUGUGAAAUGAGUCAGUCACUGAAGAAGUUUAUUGCCCCCGACUAAAAAGGGAGCCUCAGGAGACUUGUACAAAUUUAUAUGUCUGAUUGCUAGGGACCUGUUUUGAGGCAGAUGACACUGAUUCACUGUGCAUCUCUCCUGGUUCUGAUGAUGUUCUUUAUCAGCAACAAAUUCUACAAUUUCUGGUACAAUGGGCAGUGCUCUGAAUACUGCACGUAAGGAUAUUGAAAACCAGAAGUGGGCAGAUGAGCGAAAUUGAGAUAAGCCUUCUAGGCUGUGUCUGGAGGAAUGGUUAUAUCACUGAGAACAGUCAGUUUUAAGGUUAUCAACGAAAAAAAAGUUAUUUGUAUUUCCUUUUCCUUUACUUUUACAGAGAAGGUGCCUUGCAUUCCUCUGUUGGCAGACCUGAAACUGCUGUGAAGCCUAAUGCACUGGAAAAGCAGGGCAUUGCUAACAGCAUCACUUCCACAUCCAGACACAGCUUUUUUAUUGUUUAUCUAAUUACUCUCAUAAUCACUGAAGGGUUUAAAAAUGGUGUUGGGAUAAAGGCAGAACUCCUUGGAGGGAUCUGUGAGUUUCACUGGAUAGAGAUUUAACUUGCAAAGGUCUGGUGUCACCUCUGAUGGCAGAAAGAUAGGAAUUAUUUGAGUACGAAAGGCUAUUUGAGAACGAAAGGCUUAUUUGAGUAUGAAAGAGCCAUCCUGAUAUAGUUCAUAUUCACAAGAAACACCUGAAAGACUCUGCUUUCUUCUAAUCGAGGUAUAAAAGCAGAUGCUGGGGCCUCUGCUCUUGUUAUGAAAUGGCAUCAUUCUCUGGGUCCACCUGUGAGUUUGACCUCAGAUUGACAGGGUGGGAUGCGAACAUAUGAACUGAUCUUUCAAAAUCCAGGCCUUUCUCUGAAUGUCGUCUGGAGGCUGUUGGUUUACUGGGCCUGCCUAGAGGCUUCUGUGGGCCAGCUCCUGGGAUCCCAUCCUGUGUUUAUAUGUAGCACUUAACCUGGGACCUGCACUUACUGUUUAAUUCACCUGCUUCUAUUCUCCUCCAGAUUGGGUCUGUGUGAAAAAAGACACCUUCUUAUCCUCAAACAGCUCCAGUACAAUCCAAAACAUAGGCUCAUACCAGCUGCUAUGAAGAAAAUUAACUCUACCCAAGGCAAAACCAGCACAGCAGGUUAGCAGAGAAACCUGUGGAAAUCAUCUUUCCUGUUCUGCUGCGAAUAACAUCUCAGCUACUAAACUCAUAGUACUUGCAGAUAGGACUUUCCUUAGGGCCUUAUAAAAAAAUCACAGUAUCAACCUCUGCCUUAUUUCUGGCAGCAAUUUGACAGAGGAUCUGCUGUGAUCAGCAGGAAUUAAGGUUCAGCGAUAAGUUCAGCAUUCAAGAAUGUAUGUAACAACACCCAUAUUUGUAACAUGCUACACAGCUAGUACUAGAGAUAAGAUGCAAACCACAUCAUUAGUUUUCAGAUCAAAGAUAUGACAUUUGGCCAGCUGGCCCAAAAAGCUUGGUUAAAUAUUAAUGUAUUAACUUACAGGACUCAUAAUUCAGUUGAAAAAAGAUGAAAUCAUUGAAGUUCUUUAGUCAUUUGCAAUACAUGGUAAAUUACUCAUUUAGUCUCCAAAAGGGCAAGGAAGUUAACCUGACAGCAGCCUUCCUGUGACCUGUACUGUGACUUUACCAGCAGUAAAUCACUGUGUUGCUGGUAUACCCCAUUAUCUCUGAAUAAAGCCAAGAUGCUUAGCUCUAGACUGUGGUCAGCAUUAAGAAAGAACAGGCGCUCGCCCAAACCUGGCAGAAAAAGUGAGGAAAUGGGAAAAGUCAGUCCCAGUCUAUACACGGUGAUGGUAGGCACCAAAGUGAAGGCUGCCAAAUUUCAAAGAAGAUGUCUGAGCUCAGCUGAGCUCCUGAGAUUGCUGAGGGCAAUGCUGAUUGCCUGCAUGGGCAGUGGGGCCCAUCCUGAACCAGCUGCAGAACCACAAUAGUGUACAGUAGGUCAUCCAAAAGGUCCAUGUCCUGGGAGAUACAGAAGUGAAGGGGCAACUUUAUCAGCUGUCCCUAACUAUAACACCGUCAUCAUGGGCAGAGUGCCCACUGUGACUUUCCGAAUGCUGAGCAGGAAACCUACAGUACGAACAGGACCUGAACAUACACCUGCUGAAACUCUGGUUAGGGCGUUAACUUGAGGCAUUCAGGAACUUUAAAAAGUUGCUUAUCAUCAUAACAAAUAUCAUAGAAACAUGUAACUUGCUGUAUGCUCUGAAAACAAUGCAUACCGUGAAGAAAAAUGAUGACAGAAAAGUUCACCUACUGACAGCAAUUAUCAAGUAACAAAACCUUCGGCUACAGUUUGUGAUAUCAAGUAACUACAGUGAUAAGGAAAACAGAUAAGAAAUCAUGCACUUAAAUCAUGAAAAGUAACUGAUGCUGGUACCAAGUGAUAUAAUGUAUGCCUUCACUAUGCCUUUCAGUCCUGCCAGAGUCAGAAGCACAGAGGUGGCAUAGUGCUUUGGGAAGUUAAGGGAGGAAAUCAAAAAACACAGCAGCCCUAAGAAGUGACCCCACCACAGUGGCACAGCCAGUGCUGGACCAUGUUAGUAGGAGGAUGGUGGUGGAGGAUGAUUCUUCACUGUGGUGACACCAUCUCCCUGAUGACUAUGUAGAAAGUCAAGCUAUAGCAAAUUUCCUCAGUAUCAUGCAAGAAACCCCUAGUGCGAUACAACACAUAUAUCUGCAGAUCACACUAUUAGCUAUUCCUCUCAUCAGCCUAGUCUUCCAGACAAGUUCCCACAGAUGGAUUUACAUACUUUCUUGCCAUUUUGGAGGUUAGUUUUUGAAUGAAGAACAUUUCAGAAACCAUCAGCAUUUUAACUUCAAGUUUACAGAUACUAGCAUCUGUCAGUUGGGCUUUUCUCCUAACUGUGCCAAAAUAUAGCAAGUGCGUUAAAAGUGUAAAUCAUGUUUCUCUACUCCAAAUGGUAAUGGAGGAAAUGUAGAAUAAAUUGAGGAAGAGAAGCUGUGUCAGAAAAUGGAAGAAAGUGAGGCAAGUGUGUUUAAUAUACUACAAGUCAAAGAGAAGUGCAGAAAGCCUAGGACAGGGUUGAGGGUACUGCCUCGGAGGGAACUUUCUCUGUAGAAGUCUGUGCAAACUGGUGAGUAGGCAAUGGGGCUGUGGGGUAUAAGGACAGAGAUGAGUGAGCCAAGGAGGACCAGUGGUUGCCUUGGCCAUAGACCCCAAGUCAUUCCCUGUGUGAGGCCUUAUACCAGCCACGCGGUGGCAGAGGGAAAAGGAGAAUUUGCAGGGUUGAGGAGGAGUUUCUGGGAUGUCUUUUCUACUCAUCACAAUGGAAAUCAGCCAUGAAAUGUUCUGCCAGCAAAUGGCCACCUGACGACUUAUUCAUGACCUGCAUCCCACAAGGAACAAGAACUUGCAUAAACUCACGAGCAGUAUUUGGAUAGCAGACGAACAGCCAGUGCUUUCCCUGCAGGACACAAUCAGCAAAAGAAUCACAGAAUCAUAGAAUAGUUAGGGUUGGAAAGGACCUUAAGAUCAUCUAGUUCCAACCCCCCUGCCAUGGGCAGGGACACUUUGCACUAAACCAUUUCGCCUAAGGCUCUGUCCAACCUGGCCUUCAACACCGCCAGGGAUGGAGCAUUCACAACUUCCUUGGGCAACCCAUUCCAGUGCCUCACCAUGCUCACUGUAAAGAACUUCUUCCUUAUAUCUAAUCUAAGCUUCCCCUGUUUAAGUUUGAAGCCAUUACCCCUUGUCCUACCACUACAGUCCCUAAGGAAGAGUCCCUCCCCAGCAUCCUUAUAGGCCCCCUUCAGAUACUGGAAGGCUGCUAUGAGGUCUCCACGCAGCCUUCUCUUCUCCAGGCUGAACAGCCCCAACUUUCUCAGCCUGUCUUCAUACAGGAGGUGCUCCAGCCCUCUUAUCAUCCUCGGGGCUCAAUAGCUUGGAAGGUAACAUAAAAGAUGACCUUGACAAUGAGCCAAAGCCAGAGUUCACUUGAUUAAAGCAAAAUAUGUGUGUACUUCAGGCUGAAGUGAGUUUUUCUGAGGUACAUUGACUCUUCAGACUAAAAGCUAUUAAAGAAGGACUGAUCCAGGUGUACCUGAGGGGACCAAGUGAGGGUGAAGGCCUGCCUAAACAUAUUUCAGCCUUAUAAAAGCAAAAAGAAAAAGAAAAAAAAGGAACAUCAUCACCCCCUUUUUUACAUAAUAAAGUGGUUUUCCUAUGUCUGAAUCCAGUUUCCUGAAGCCCUAGCCUCAAUACUGGAUUCAUCCUUACGACAUUGUGGUUAGUGCCAGUAUUGGGGGCAGGGAAAUAUGUUUUGCUUUCCAUGGGUCCAUAUUUUGCAGACUGAAUUCUUCUGCCUUUGGGAAAAUGAGCCAGCGAGGUAGAGAAUCAUCAGCCCAAAUACUAAUUGCAUGUCCUGAAUUUUGAAUGGUCACAGGCUAUGUAAUUGGAGGCCAAGAGGAGAGGAGGGCUCUAGGUAAAAUACGAGCCCAGAAAAGCAGCUCCAAGCUGCACAGGUCCAUCAUCAGUCCCUGAAGGAGAGGUCUCAGAGUGCUGCUAGCAGGAAACCUCAGCACAGAACCUUCUCAGAAAGCAAGAACUAUAUGAGAGUAGCAGGCAAGCAGGGUUAAAAUAUGUGGCAGAAUGAGGGCAAAAUGAGGGUGCAGCCUGUAAGCAGGAGGGCUGUGGCUCCACUUCUGAGAGCCUUCAGGGGACUAUAGGAGAGGAGAGCAGAAGUAGAGAGGAGAAAGAAGUAAGGAGAGAUAUUGCUAAGUGCCCAGUCAAGGCAUCCCAUUUCAUUCACAUAGACACAGCCACUGAUACUGAAAAGCAAGGUAUUUCCAAAGGAGGUACUUGUGAGGUGUUUCACCUUCUUCCAUGAAAGGCAUUAAAUCUUGGAUGAUAUGAAAAGCAAUUCAGAGUAACAAACAAACAGAGAGUAGAUAAAGCAUGCAUUUAUAAAACCAAAUAUAGCUAUCUGAAUGAUUUAUAACCAUGACAUACAAAUUUUAAAAGGACUCCUUUAAAACUCCUCAUGCCUCAACCAUUGGGGUUUUUUUAAUUUAAUUUUUUGUUGAUACAGAUGGAAAUUUGUCACCUACUGCUGUCAUGGAUAUAUGGCCUUGCUCUAUCAGUGUAAUAUGAUCCUGCUCCUAAGACAAGCAGGUCAGAGAGCAUUUUACCUUUCGGGCCAGUUCUCAGUGCUGCCAUCUAAUACCAAGCAACUGUCUCCUGUUCGACCUAAAAAUUACAGCCUUAAUCUCAUGGACUAACCAAUUAAUCCCAUCAAAAGUUAUGCAACUGGAAUUCUUGAUACAGUCUCUCACACAAGCUCGGUCUUUUUGUCCUCAUCCAGGACUAUGACUGGAGAGGUGAGGAAAACCUUGUCCUCUCUCCCACACUCCACCUCGUUGACUCUUCACCAAUACACAGUAUGUUGCAAGCAGCCAGAAGUGUUACCAUACGCAUUCAUAUACUCACACACUUCCAGCCACUAUCAGAUAGGCUUUGGCAUAGACCAAGCACUAGUAUGACCUCGCAGUCUUGGCUGAUGGCUCUUCCUAAAUUCCUUCUGCACACAUUUACAGCUGUGUGCUGCUUUGCAAUUUAGGAUGUGUUUAAUUCUCCUAAUGACAUUUUCCCCCUGCUGUAGGGGGGGUAGGAACAGAAUUGCAACUCUUCAGUGGGAAUUAAAUAUUUGUUUUGUAUUCUAGGUUUCACACAAAUCCACCAACAAUUUUUGAACUAGUGUGUGCCACAUGCUGCCUCAGCAGCAGCAAGCUGCUGGGCUAACAGAGGGUGUCACACAGAGCAUGUGGUAGGUAAUGUGGAGCUGUGCUCGAGCCUUACAUGCCGUCUUUUAGUUCAGGGCUUCUUUUUUAAGGCCAGAGUCAUUCUGCUGCAGACAAGUCUCUCUCUCUGCUUUCCAUACCCAGCAUUCAGGUUUAAGGAGGUCUUUUCCAUGAAAAGCACAGAUAGGGACAAGCAAAAACCUUUUUCAGAGUCAAGACUGCCUCAAGCAGGCAACUCUGCAGGACUCAGUUUCGGGACCAUGCCUGAGAAAAUAAUGCUGAAACUUACCAUAUGUUGGCAGUUAAAACUUUUAAUGACGACAGUUGUGGCAUAUCUACAAGGGACACCAGAUCUCUAUCCUGUUGAAGUGAAUGGCCAAAUUCCCCACUAUGCUGCUGAGGCUGGGGUCUGUCCUGCAGAGGGAAGUGAUUUCCCAUUUGGAGCUCUGUGUUCUGCAGUGACUCUGUGAGCUGGUGAGUGGAGGAGGCUGGCACCCUGUUUUCUGCUGCUUUACAUUAUUUUUACAGGGGCUAACAGGAAACAGUAUAAAUUUCCUAUGCACUGGAUUGCCUAAUAUUGCUUAACAAAUAGUAACUUUUCCGUGUUAACUGAAGUUAAUAGGAAUAAAUUGUUCAUUGAAAACA